rnacentral:rRNA from 1 species
AUUGAACGCUGGCGGCAUGCUUUACACAUGCAAGUCGGACGGCAGCACAGAGAAGCUUGCUUCUUGGGUGGCGAGUGGCGAACGGGUGAGUAACAUAUCGGAACGUACCGAGUAAUGGGGGAUAACUAAUCGAAAAAUUAGCUAAUACCGCAUAUUCUCUGAGGAGGAAAGCAGGGGACCUUCGGGCCUUGCGUUAUUCGAGCGGCCGAUAUCUGAUUAGCUAGUUGGUGGGGUAAAGGCCUACCAAGGCGACGAUCAGUAGCGGGUCUGAGAGGAUGAUCCGCCACACUGGGACUGAGACACGGCCCAGACUCCUACGGGAGGCAGCAGUGGGGAAUUUUGGACAAUGGGCGCAAGCCUGAUCCAGCCAUGCCGCGUGUCUGAAGAAGGCCUUCGGGUUGUAAAGGACUUUUGUCAGGGAAGAAAAGGCUGUUGCUAAUACCGACAGCUGAUGACGGUACCUGAAGAAUAAGCACCGGCUAACUACGUGCCAGCAGCCGCGGUAAUACGUAGGGUGCGAGCGUUAAUCGGAAUUACUGGGCGUAAAGCGAGCGCAGACGGUUACUUAAGCAGGAUGUGAAAUCCCCGGGCUCAACCUGGGAACUGCGUUCUGAACUGGGUGACUAGAGUGUGUCAGAGGGAGGUAGAAUUCCACGUGUAGCAGUGAAAUGCGUAGAGAUGUGGAGGAAUACCGAUGGCGAAGGCAGCCUCCUGGGAUAACACUGACGUUCAUGCUCGAAAGCGUGGGUAGCAAACAGG